AGUCGAGGGGCAGCACAGGUAGCAAUACUGGGUGGCGACCGGCAAACGGGUGCGGAACACGUACGCAACCUUCCUUCAAGCGGGGAAUAGCCCAGAGAAAUUUGGAUUAAUACCCCAUAAGAAUGUGGACUGGCAUCAGUCAGCAUUUAAAGAUUUAUCACUUGAAGAUGGGCGUGCGUCUGAUUAGGUAGUUGGUGAGGUAACGGCUCACCAAGCCGACGAUCAGUAACUGGCGUGAGAGCGCGACCAGUCACACGGGCACUGAGACACGGGCCCGACUCCUACGGGAGGCAGCAGUAAGGAAUAUUGGUCAAUGGACGGAAGUCUGAACCAGCCAUGCCGCGUGGAGGAUGAAGGCCCUCUGGGUUGUAAACUUCUUUUAUUUGGGACGAAACACUUCUUUUCUAAGGAGCUUGACGGUACCAGAUGAAUAAGCACCGGCUAACUCCGUGCCAGCAGCCGCGGUAAUACGGAGGGUGCAAGCGUUAUCCGGAUUCACUGGGUUUAAAGGGUGCGUAGGCGGACAUGUAAGUCCGUGGUGAAAUCUCUAAGCUUAACUUGAAAACUGCCAUGGAUACUAUAUGUCUUGAAUGUUGUGGAGGUUAGCGGAAUAUGUCAUGUAGCGGUGAAAUGCAUAGAUAUGACAUAGAACACCAAUUGCGAAGGCAGCUGGCUACACAAAUAUUGACGCUGAGGCACGAAAGCGUGGGGAUCAAACAGGAUUAGAUACCCUGGUAGUCCACGCCCUAAACGAUGAUUACUCGACAUACGCGAUACAC
rnacentral:rRNA from 1 species